CCCACUCUGAAAAGGUCUCAUGACUCUUGGCAAUACUAGUGUAAGUUUAGCCCAUGAAUGAAUUUACCUGAUCUGAUUAACAGUUCCAAGGGACAGUGGACUCACUAAUCUUUGAGAGCUGGGAAAGCCUUGAGUGGGGCCUUCAUGUUUCUAUCUUUCUGAGUUGAAGAAGGAACUCAUCUUUCAUCUCCAAGUCAAUGGUACCAGUGGCUUCUAUUCCCAGGUAUGUCAAAUUUUUGCCAGCAAAGCUAAAACAGAACAUUUCAGCACCUUAUCCCCUCGUAGAGGAAUUUUUAAACCAGGGUUAGAAGUGGAACUAAUCUGGACAGAGGGAGGAGGUAAUAAAAGACAUAAUAUCUGUCUCCAGUGUCUGCACUUCAAUUAAAGUCCAUAUUUGAGUCAUGAAGUAAGUUGGGUCUUUUGACUUCUCAAUAACGUUGGGUUUCAGUAAACUUGCAAAGACAUUCUAGAGGCUCUGUCAAUACAUCACUCAAUCUAUAACUCUUUUGGCCUCCAAACAAUGUUUAUUUAACUGUGCUUACAGGGUUUUUUGGUUGAUCUAGUAGGUGCUUGGAAGCAGCUUUUUCAUUUAUAGAAAAAAAAAUUAACAAGAGUAUGGAAUACUAUUCUCCAGAUUCAACAAAACCAUUGUGCUGUAAAGACAGCCACUAAUGGACAGCAGCCACAAGUUAAAUAACACCAGCCAAUGAUGGCAAGAUAGCACGGGGUACAGCUUUCAUGUGAAUCUCCAAUUUAACAGGGAUUGGAAAUAAUUUUCAAGUUCAUAAUAUUGAUAGCACUUUUUUUUUUCUUAUCAGACACAGGGUGUAAUAAUUCAUGAAGUAUUUUUGAGUUCACCUGCAUAUCUGCUCCUUUGGACCAGGGAAAGCUCUAUGAGGAACAUGUUCUUCCCAUGUUCUUAUGCUACAACAGGGCUCAUAUUUUACUGACGGGUUUUAAAAAUAAUGACAUCCACUUCACCAGAGAGAUGCAGAGAACAUCAGCAUAUUCUAGAUGGGCUUCCCCUCUGCAAUUUAUGAUGAAAUCUGACUUCAGGGAACAUGGGCUUGUGACAGCAGCAGCAGAGAACCUUCUUCCCUUCAUCUAGAAAGCAGAGAUUAACAAUGGACAUUGAAAAAACCUCUGACUCUGUAGGGUUUCUGCGAAGAUGAAUAAAUGACUUUGCACAGUGCCUGGCCCUUCA
rnacentral:lncRNA from 13 species